rnacentral:sRNA from 1 species
GCGUUUCUAGAGGUUGGCCGGGUGGCAAC